CCGCCAUAUCACGUUGAAACAUCGGUUCUCGUCAGAUCACCGAAGUUAAGCAACGUCGAGAAUGGUCAGUACCUUGAUUGGGGAUCGCUUUGGAUUACUAGGUGCUGUAUG